rnacentral:rRNA from 1 species
GACGAACGCUGGCGGCGUGCUUAAUACAUGCAAGUCGAGCGGAGCGGCGAACGGGAGAGUAACGCGAGAGUAACUGCCCCCCUCUCUGGGAUAACAGUUGGAAACGGCUGCUAAUACCGGAUAGUGGGGGAUGACUCGCGUCCUAUCAGCUUGUUGGUGGGGUAGUGGCCUACCAAGGGGACGACGGGUAGCCGGCCUGAGAGGGCGACCGGCCACAUUGGGCUUAGGGACGGCCCAAACUCCUACGGGGUGCAGCGGUGGGGAUCAUUGCACAAUGGGGGAAACCCUGGUGCAGCAACGCCGCGUGCGGGAUGACGGGCUUCGGGUUGUAAACCGCGUUCAGCCAUGACACGGUAGUGGCAGAAGAAGCACCGGCUAACUACGUGCCAGCAGCCGCGGUAAUAC